rnacentral:rRNA from 1 species
UUGAGGUGUAAAAUUUGGUUAGGAGUAGCUUACUUGAGUAUUACGAGUUGUGUUGAGAUAUUCAUCACAAGAAUCUUAAAACUCAAAAGACUUGGCGGUGUCUUAAGUCCUUCUAGGGGAACCUGUCCUGUAAUCGAUAGUCCACGAUUUAUCUUUCCUCCUCUUGAAAUAUUCAGCUUGUAUACCGUCGUCGUCAGAUUACCUUUAAGAGUUAAAUAAGUUAUCGGAAAGAGAUUUACAGAUUAAUAUUUAUUUUGAUUUUAAAAUAGUAAAAUUAAAUUAGAUUUAGGAAAGUAGCUUUCUAGAUGUCAGAUCGAGGUGCAGCUAAUGAGGGGGUAAAGAUGGGUUACAAUAAUUAUUUAUUAUCACGAAGUUCUUAUUGAAAUUUAUAAGAAUUGAGCGCGGACUUAGAAGUAAUUGGUAAAGUAGAGAGUUUCAGUGAAAAUGGCACUAAGAUGUG